rnacentral:tRNA from 1 species
GUCUAAAUAGCUUAUAUAGAGCAUAACACUGAAGAUGUUAGGGAGAUUCCAGGAUCUUUGGGCA